UGAGGAAUAUUGGGCAAUGCCCGCAAGGGUGACCCAGCAACGCCGCGUGGAGGAUGAAUGUCGUAAGAUUGUAAACUCCUGUUAGAGGGGAAGAAUAGUACCGGUUGGACCGGUAUAUGACUGUACCCUCAGAGAAAGCCUCGGCUAACUACGUGCCAGCAGCCGCGGUAAUACGUAGGGGGCAAGCGUUGUCCGGAUUUACUGGGUGUAAAGGGCGCGCAGGCGGGAUAAAAAGUCAGUGGUGAAAUCCUACAGCUUAACUGUAGAACUGCCUUUGAUACUUUUAUUCUUGAGUUCGGGAGAGAGAGACGGAAUUCCAGGUGUAGUGGUGAAAUACGUAGAUAUCUGGAAGAACACCAGUUGCGAAGGCGGUCUCUUGGUCCGACACUGACGCUGAGGCGCGAAAGCGUGGGGAGCAAACA
rnacentral:rRNA from 1 species